AACCCUGGUCAUACCACCCUGAACACGUAUGAUCUCGACUGAUCUCAGAAGCUAAGUAGGGUCAGACCUGGUCAGUACCUGGGUGGUGUGAGCUCUACAUGGCUUGUUGGUCUGGGGUAU
rnacentral:rRNA from 1 species